UAAAAGUGAAAUAUCCUACUUCCAAUCAUGUUGUAAAGCAACAGGGUUAGCAAUAGCUACCACCUGUGCAGCACUGGCUACCACCCCUGGCCUGAGGCUGGAACGUUGCACAGUUUUAUGAUUGAUACUAAUAGUCUAAUAAGGUAUUACAACCCCAGGCACACUUUACAGGGAGAUAUAGGAAAGCUUUCAUAAUUUUCUCAUGCUUGCAAAUAAUAAGGAAACAAGUGUUCCAAACCGUAUUAACUAACUUUGUAUCUCACCUCUCAGAGUUCUUGAGAGUCUUCUCAAAUAAGAAUUACAGAUGAAAAGAUACAAGCCCCAUCUGCUAUGCUUCUACUCUAUAAGGCCGGAAAUGAACAGUUACAUGGUAGAAAAUCAGGGUGCCAACACCAUACUUUACGCACAGGGGUUGGACUCUCCAGGUUCAAGCUCAACGUGUUGACCAUCAGUAAAGAAUUCACAUCAGAAGAGCCUUCUCACAGGUAGGUAUUAAUAGUUUAACAAGUAAUUAAUAGCUUAACAAGUAUUAAAAGCUUGGGGGCCCUUGGGUUCAUAUACCUGAUAGUGUGAGUCACAUCAAGAUAAUUUUGGGCAUAACUGAUAUAGUUUAUUGAAUUUUAAAGUGUGGAAUUAAAUAAUAAGGUUAUUUCCUUUCCAUUUUGCUUCAGUUAUUCUCAUUGCCCGAAGGAAGAAGAGUUAAUUGGCCCUUCAUAUAUCUAUAUAUUUACUAAAUUCAUUUUUGGGUUUUUUGGUACCGGAGAUCGAACUCGGGUCCUUGUGCUUGUGCAGCAGGUGGCGAAACCACUGAGCUAAAUCCCCAGCCCUAAAUUCAUUUCUUUAAUAAAAGAGAAACCAAACCUUAGGCUCAGAGCCAUUUGCUGGUCAUGGUAUUUAGGCAAACUUGAAUUAUUUUGCCUUUUAUAUUGUAUUUUUUCAAUUCUCUUCCAUGUUUGAUAAAAGACACUGUAUUACAAUUUAUAAUAAUGACACAAAACUUCAUCUUUUAGCCAUAAG
rnacentral:lncRNA from 1 species